rnacentral:rRNA from 1 species
UACGGGGGGAGCAAGCGUUGUUCGGAAUUACUGGGCGUAAAGGGCUCGUAGGCGGCCAACUAAGUCGGACGUGAAAUCCCCAGGCUCAACCUGGGAACUGCGUCCGAUACUGGAUGGCUUGAAUCCGGGAGAGGGAUGCAGAAUUCCAGGUGUAGCGGUGAAAUGCGUAGAUAUCUGGAGGAAUACCGGUGGCGAAGGCGGCAUCCUGGACCGGCAUUGACGCUGAGGAGCGAAAGCCAGGGGAGCAAACAGG